rnacentral:lncRNA from 1 species
GCCCUGCAGCGCCGAGAGACCGAGGUCUACGCCUGUAUUGAGAACGAGGCUGGCAGUCCAGCCUCUGCCCAAAGCCAGCCCUCCCAGGAGAAACUGCAUAAAUUUGAGGAUGACAACGAAUUUAACUUGGUCUAUGAAAAUCUCUAGGAGAAGUUCUGCCAACCACGGGUCUUGUCCUGGACCAGAGGCCCUGGCGCAGCCCCUCAUGCCAAAGGACUUAAUCUGAACCAGGAGUAUGGCCUCCAGGGACAUACUAUCACCCUCAUCCUUACACUCAAGGCCCUCCUUUCCUCCGCCUGCCCCUCUCCCUCCCCCAUCCUGCACCCCAGCCUGAGCCUUUGCCCAGGCUGUUCCUCGUGCCAACUGGGCUCUUCCUCCCAUGGCCCAGUCAACAAAGUGCUUCUCACUCAGAAAGGAAGUGGCCUUUUUCCUGAAGCCCUCCUCACCAUCUUAUGCCCACCCCACAGAGUUUACAUGGCUGUCUUGGUCUAGGGGCAGACAAUGAUCUGCAAGGAAGACACAGCAGGGACCCUGCCAAUGCCGUGCAUGGGCACUGAGGAUGGACUAGCAGGGGACUGCAGAUGCUCCUACCUGCCCAGCUAGUCCAAAAGCACAAGGUGGCCUUGCUGGUGUGGCAGGGGUGGGGGAUGGGCAAGGAUGUUGAGCCACACAGAUGCUGGACUGGGCCCAGGGCCAGAUAUCAAGGCCAAGGAUGGAGCAAGUGGUGACUGUCAAACUGGGGCCCUGGAGCAGGGAGGGUUCCAUACAUGCAGGUUUCAACCUCCUCCCCGCUUGGCUCCUGCUCCUCCCAGCACUUGUGUGAGAAAAUCACCACUGGAAACCAAGCCUAGGAACUUAAUGUGGGUGCAGCAGCCGUGGCCCCCCCACCCAGACAGAAAUUUCCAGAGAAUUCUGUGCAGCAGUUUCCAUGGGAACAUGUGCCUCUUACUACCGAUCCUCUGUGGAGCUGGGGUUCCCUUCACAACCAAUAUCACAAGACUUUAGCAGGUGGCCUCGACUGGGGACAGCCACCACUCUGGCCACCAGCUCUCACUAACCUGAAAUCAAGUUACAGGCAAAACCUGCUUCUUUUUUCCCAUCUAAUUUAAAGGCUGUGCUCCAGGCUAAGGACGCCGCUGGGAUUUCAGGGAUGGAUUUUUAUGUUGUUCAACAGUUUUCUUGGCAGACAGCUCCUCCAGGAGAGGUGGCCCCUUACCUGAGCCCAGCCAGACUGAGUGGUGUCUCUCUGUUCCUCUUGAAUGCCAGGGGAUGGCAUUUGGAGUCUCUGAAUCCAGACUCGGGCAUUGAGGACAUGAACACAGGACUCUGGGAUAACUGCUUUCUAUGCUUCUCCUUUGAGCUAUGGUCAGAAUCUUGGCCUGAGACUUGACCCAGCUCAGGCCUGCACCCUGUGUGUACUUGGCGUUGGUAUGUGCUCACUGUGUGUAUCUAAGCAAGCAAGUGGUACAAAUUGACUCUGAUGCACCUGCCAUAUCCCGGUCUCCUUUGAAUGCCCUCCCCACAGGUCACUUACUUGGUUUAUUUGGGAGAGAGUCCUUCCUGCUGCUUUUAUUGCAUCUGUGUACAUAUAUGGGAACAGAUAAAACACAGAAUGUUUGUGGGGGGUCCUGAAGAGCUUGCUUGGUGUCAUUCUGUAGGUGUUGUUUGCACUGGGGAUCUGCCCAAGCUAGCAUAUCGGAGCUGCCAGACUCUAAUUAUAGCAGAGGACUCACAGGAAGGAUGGAUCCUAAUUUAAUCAAUCGGGCCCCUAUCAAUGGCCUCCUCAGUUGUUUACAAUUUUUCAACCUCGCCUAAGAUAAUGCAGGGAACAUGCUUGCACGCCCCUCCUUGAAUGUAUCUUCCAAGCUUUCUCCACAGAGAAAUGAUAAGAAGAGGUUUCUGGGAGUCCUGAGUGUGGACGUUUUAGUGUUUCAACAGACACUGCCAUGUGUCAGGCAUGGAUGUGGUUACUUGGACUCUUUCGCUACAGAAAGAGU